GGCUAACCUGCCCUUGGGACAGAGACACCCCCGGGAAACUGGGGCUAAUCCCUGAUAGGUGAAGAACUCUGGAAUGAGUCUUCACCCAAAAGACGCCUAGGCCACGCUUCUAGGCGCCGCCCAAGGAUGGGGCCGCGACCGAUCAGGUUGUUGGUGAGGUAACGGCCUACCAAGCCUUUUACCGGUACGGGCCGUGAGAGCGGGAGCCCGGAGAUGGGCACUGAGACAAGGGCCCAGGUCCUACGGGGCGCAGCAGUCGCGCAAACUUUGCAAUACACGAAAGUGUGACAGGGCUAUCCCGAGUGCCGUCCGCUGAGGGUGGCUUUUACCCAGUCUAGAAAGCUGGGAGAAUAAGGAGAGGGCAAGUCUGGUGUCAGCCGCCGCGGUAAUACCAGCUCUCCGAGUGGUGUGGAUGUUUAUUGGGCCUAAAGCAUCCGUAGCUUGCUGAUCAAGUCCCCUGUUAAACCCAACGAAUCAAUCGUUGGAUUGCGGGGGAUACUGCUCGGCUAGGGGACGAGAGAGGCCGACGGUAUUUUCGGGGUAGGGGUGAAAUCCUAUAAUCCCGAGAGGACCACCAGUGGCGAAGGCUGUCGGCUAGAACGCGCCCAACGGUGAGGGAUGAAAGCUGGGGGAGCGAACCGGAUUAGAUACCCGGGUAGUCCCAGCUGUAAACGAUGCAGGCUAGGUGUUUGGGCGGCCACGCGCCGCUCUAGUGCCGCAGGGAAGCUGUUAAGCCUGCCGCCUGGGGAGUACGGCCGCAAGGCUGAAACUUAA
rnacentral:rRNA from 1 species